GUGCUUGAUUUGGCAACACCCAUACUAAAAUUGGAACUAUACAGAGAAGAUUCACAUGGCCUCUGUGCAAGGAUGACAUGCAAAUUCAUGAAACAUUUAUUU